ncrna:23S ribosomal RNA from Escherichia coli (PDB 5JTE, chain BA)
GGUUAAGCGACUAAGCGUACACGGUGGAUGCCCUGGCAGUCAGAGGCGAUGAAGGACGUGCUAAUCUGCGAUAAGCGUCGGUAAGGUGAUAUGAACCGUUAUAACCGGCGAUUUCCGAAUGGGGAAACCCAGUGUGUUUCGACACACUAUCAUUAACUGAAUCCAUAGGUUAAUGAGGCGAACCGGGGGAACUGAAACAUCUAAGUACCCCGAGGAAAAGAAAUCAACCGAGAUUCCCCCAGUAGCGGCGAGCGAACGGGGAGCAGCCCAGAGCCUGAAUCAGUGUGUGUGUUAGUGGAAGCGUCUGGAAAGGCGCGCGAUACAGGGUGACAGCCCCGUACACAAAAAUGCACAUGCUGUGAGCUCGAUGAGUAGGGCGGGACACGUGGUAUCCUGUCUGAAUAUGGGGGGACCAUCCUCCAAGGCUAAAUACUCCUGACUGACCGAUAGUGAACCAGUACCGUGAGGGAAAGGCGAAAAGAACCCCGGCGAGGGGAGUGAAAAAGAACCUGAAACCGUGUACGUACAAGCAGUGGGAGCACGCUUAGGCGUGUGACUGCGUACCUUUUGUAUAAUGGGUCAGCGACUUAUAUUCUGUAGCAAGGUUAACCGAAUAGGGGAGCCGAAGGGAAACCGAGUCUUAACUGGGCGUUAAGUUGCAGGGUAUAGACCCGAAACCCGGUGAUCUAGCCAUGGGCAGGUUGAAGGUUGGGUAACACUAACUGGAGGACCGAACCGACUAAUGUUGAAAAAUUAGCGGAUGACUUGUGGCUGGGGGUGAAAGGCCAAUCAAACCGGGAGAUAGCUGGUUCUCCCCGAAAGCUAUUUAGGUAGCGCCUCGUGAAUUCAUCUCCGGGGGUAGAGCACUGUUUCGGCAAGGGGGUCACUUACCAACCCGAUGCAAACUGCGAAUACCGGAGAAUGUUAUCACGGGAGACACACGGCGGGUGCUAACGUCCGUCGUGAAGAGGGAAACAACCCAGACCGCCAGCUAAGGUCCCAAAGUCAUGGUUAAGUGGGAAACGAUGUGGGAAGGCCCAGACAGCCAGGAUGUUGGCUUAGAAGCAGCCAUCAUUUAAAGAAAGCGUAAUAGCUCACUGGUCGAGUCGGCCUGCGCGGAAGAUGUAACGGGGCUAAACCAUGCACCGAAGCUGCGGCAGCGACGCUUAUGCGUUGUUGGGUAGGGGAGCGUUCUGUAAGCCUGCGAAGGUGUGCUGUGAGGCAUGCUGGAGGUAUCAGAAGUGCGAAUGCUGACAUAAGUAACGAUAAAGCGGGUGAAAAGCCCGCUCGCCGGAAGACCAAGGGUUCCUGUCCAACGUUAAUCGGGGCAGGGUGAGUCGACCCCUAAGGCGAGGCCGAAAGGCGUAGUCGAUGGGAAACAGGUUAAUAUUCCUGUACUUGGUGUUACUGCGAAGGGGGGACGGAGAAGGCUAUGUUGGCCGGGCGACGGUUGUCCCGGUUUAAGCGUGUAGGCUGGUUUUCCAGGCAAAUCCGGAAAAUCAAGGCUGAGGCGUGAUGACGAGGCACUACGGUGCUGAAGCAACAAAUGCCCUGCUUCCAGGAAAAGCCUCUAAGCAUCAGGUAACAUCAAAUCGUACCCCAAACCGACACAGGUGGUCAGGUAGAGAAUACCAAGGCGCUUGAGAGAACUCGGGUGAAGGAACUAGGCAAAAUGGUGCCGUAACUUCGGGAGAAGGCACGCUGAUAUGUAGGUGAGGUCCCUCGCGGAUGGAGCUGAAAUCAGUCGAAGAUACCAGCUGGCUGCAACUGUUUAUUAAAAACACAGCACUGUGCAAACACGAAAGUGGACGUAUACGGUGUGACGCCUGCCCGGUGCCGGAAGGUUAAUUGAUGGGGUUAGCGCAAGCGAAGCUCUUGAUCGAAGCCCCGGUAAACGGCGGCCGUAACUAUAACGGUCCUAAGGUAGCGAAAUUCCUUGUCGGGUAAGUUCCGACCUGCACGAAUGGCGUAAUGAUGGCCAGGCUGUCUCCACCCGAGACUCAGUGAAAUUGAACUCGCUGUGAAGAUGCAGUGUACCCGCGGCAAGACGGAAAGACCCCGUGAACCUUUACUAUAGCUUGACACUGAACAUUGAGCCUUGAUGUGUAGGAUAGGUGGGAGGCUUUGAAGUGUGGACGCCAGUCUGCAUGGAGCCGACCUUGAAAUACCACCCUUUAAUGUUUGAUGUUCUAACGUUGACCCGUAAUCCGGGUUGCGGACAGUGUCUGGUGGGUAGUUUGACUGGGGCGGUCUCCUCCUAAAGAGUAACGGAGGAGCACGAAGGUUGGCUAAUCCUGGUCGGACAUCAGGAGGUUAGUGCAAUGGCAUAAGCCAGCUUGACUGCGAGCGUGACGGCGCGAGCAGGUGCGAAAGCAGGUCAUAGUGAUCCGGUGGUUCUGAAUGGAAGGGCCAUCGCUCAACGGAUAAAAGGUACUCCGGGGAUAACAGGCUGAUACCGCCCAAGAGUUCAUAUCGACGGCGGUGUUUGGCACCUCGAUGUCGGCUCAUCACAUCCUGGGGCUGAAGUAGGUCCCAAGGGUAUGGCUGUUCGCCAUUUAAAGUGGUACGCGAGCUGGGUUUAGAACGUCGUGAGACAGUUCGGUCCCUAUCUGCCGUGGGCGCUGGAGAACUGAGGGGGGCUGCUCCUAGUACGAGAGGACCGGAGUGGACGCAUCACUGGUGUUCGGGUUGUCAUGCCAAUGGCACUGCCCGGUAGCUAAAUGCGGAAGAGAUAAGUGCUGAAAGCAUCUAAGCACGAAACUUGCCCCGAGAUGAGUUCUCCCUGACCCUUUAAGGGUCCUGAAGGAACGUUGAAGACGACGACGUUGAUAGGCCGGGUGUGUAAGCGCAGCGAUGCGUUGAGCUAACCGGUACUAAUGAACCGUGAGGCUUAACCU